UGCAGAAUCCCGUGAACCAUCGAGUUUUUGAACGCAAGUUGCGCCCAAAGCCAUCCGGCCGAGGGCACGCCUGCCUGGGCGUCA
rnacentral:rRNA from 1 species